rnacentral:lncRNA from 1 species
UGCAGAACCCUAGACCAAAAAAUGACAGUAGCCGUUUCUGAUCUUGAAAACACACCCUAAAAAUCGGCCAUCCACAACUCCAAAUAUCAUCGACACUCUCCAACAACACAUCAUUUCUCUCCUUUGAUUCUCAUCCAAAAACACACACUGAUAAAGAAAGGGACUUCACCCCCCAAAUUCCCAAAAGAAGAACGCGCGCACACACACACACAAAAGAGAAUAAAUAGAAAAAUCACCCACAUCCAGCUUCUUUUUUGAAUUUGUUUUCAUCUGAUGAAAUAUGGUUGAGUCGCCUAGUGGUAUUCAGUUUCACCGCCGCUGCUGCUUCGUUUCUUGUUCAAGAGUUCAAGCUCAUUUUUAGAUUUACCGAGUGAAUUUAAGAGCUUCUGUAGUUUUGCCUUGGCCAUAAACCACAUCCAUUUCAUUUUCAAAAUCUGUUCAAUCUAUCGAGGUCACUGCCUUGCCGGCACUUCGCCAGAGUUUCCCCAUUUUCAGCCAAACACCUCCCUGAACAUCGAGCCCUCAGCUGUUUUAGACUAAAAAGAUACCCCUAGAGCUCCGAAAUCUUGCAUUGAAGUUGUGCUCGAAGUCGAGCUUCACCAGAAACCGUGCUCACUGGAAUUGCUUAAUUUCUAUUGAGGUUUGAUGCACCGUUGAAUUGAGGCUAUCUCUUGAGGUGUGGUUUGCGAGGCCGUUUGAGUUUGAUCGAUGUCUCGAGUUCUGGAGUUAGCGAGUCACUCGAAUCUAUCAGUGUAAUUGCUGGAAUUUCCGUUAAUUUAAACUAUUUCAGGUUCAUCUUUUCUCUUUUUUCUCUGUUAUUUAUGAUGUUAAUCUCAUGUGUCGUGAUUGAAAUAUGUUGCUGACCUAUUAUCUAAGUUGUUUGUUGAUUUCAUAUGUGUUCAGUUGUACGUGUUCAUCGAGUUCCUUACGUGAAUCAGUUCUGGUUUUGAAUAUUGUUUCUACUGUGUCGGAUUUGUGCAUUUAGACUUAUUCCGGUUUAGUGAAAGUAGUUGAGUCAGCUGAUCAAGAACAGGCAGCUUUGGAUGAGAUUUAAGUUGUGAAGUUCUGAAAACUAAAGUUUCAUAACUAUAACACUUUCAAGAAACAAAUGUAAAAUAUUGCAGCAAAGGCUGUAUCAUUGCUAAAUUUAUGUGUGACAUAUAACAAAAUUUAGCAAUUUUUCAACUUCCUGAUAGUAACUUUUUCAUUUUAAUUUCAAGGUUUAUCCAUCAACAGAACAAUGGACAGUAAACUUAUGCUAUCUUUCAAGCUUUAAUGGUAACUUGGAAAUCAACGUAUUUACAUAUUUGGUCACAUUAUUUGACAUUCCCUUGUGCUUAAUAUCAUUUAUAUGUUAUUGAAGAGUUUUGAGUUUUGAUCUUUUGGAGUCAUUUGGCAAGUGUUCAUAUCGAAAAUAGGUUCUGUUGUUCUACUUUUGUCACGACCCUAGUUCUCCCUCCGUGAACCAUCGUGACGACACCUAGUCUCUACGACUAGGUAAGCCUAACAGCGCAAAAAAUAAACCAAUUUACGGAAUAAAUCAUUAAAAACCAAAAUAGUUAAAUAAACAGCGUUAAAAAGUGUCGUCGGCAUACACAAUAACAACUCUCAAACUAACAACAUUUCCCAAAACCCGAAAUCUUAUGAUCACAAACCUUUGAAUGUCUACAAGUAUCUAACUCCAGAAUGUCUAACAAAGAAACUAAAGUACAGAAGGGCUAAUACAAAAGGGAGAGUGGAAAGGGACUCUUCGGUCUGCGGACGCGGUAGAUAUACAUCGAAGUCUCUACGAACGCCUCGUCUCAAGCGUGAUAAGUCUGAGUGGAGGUACCUGGAUCUGCACAUGAAAAACAUGCACAGAAAGGGCAUGAGUACACCACAGCGGUACCCAGUAAGUGUCAAGCCUAACCUCGGUCGGGUAGUGAUGAGGAAGGUUAGGGCCCUACUGAGACUAAAUGAAAUAUGAGGAGAGACAGUAUAAGAUAAAGCAGUACAGUUGAAAGACAACAAUAAGAAUUAAUACAGGAUAAUAAGGAUAACUACAACUGAAACAAAGGCAAAAACAAUCACCAGGAAUACCACUCUUCACAAAGAUAAUAACCGGGGAUCUCUCAGUAUCCCGAGGAUCUCUUAAUACCCUCAAUAUAUGCCAGGGUUCUCUUGGUAUCCCGAGGAUCUCUUGGUAUCCUCAAUAUAUGCUAGGGAUCUCUUGGUAUCCUCAAAUAUAUCCUAGGAAUCUCUUGGUAUCCUCAAUAUAUUCUAGGGAUCUCUUCGAUCCCGAGGAUCUCUUGAAACUAAACCCCAGAAACUUUGAUUUUUCUGCCCAGCAAAUCCGCAUCUGCGGUACUGCUUCUGCGGUCAAGGGGACCGCUCCUGCGAUUUCCACUUAAAACCCCUUCGCCGCACCUGCAACCCAGAAUCCGCAGCUGCGGUCACGCAGGUGCGGUACAUCACCCGCUUCUAUAGUUCCCUGCUUUUCCUCAGCUGGACGCUUCUGCGGUUUAAAUUCUGCAUCUACAAGAGUCGCAUCUGCGACCUCUCAAUCGCAGAUGCGGUUAUGACAGCAGCCCAAAGAACUUCAACUGCAAACUCCAAGUUCCAGCUUCCCGUUAACCACCCAAAAUCAUCCCGAGGCCCCCAGGACCUCAACCAAAAGCACGAAUAAGUCAUAUACCACUAUCCAAACUUGUACAAAUCUCCAAAACACCUCAAACAAAAUCGAAACAACCAAUUAGCAUCGGAUUCAAGCCUAAGAACUUCAAAAACUCUCAAAAUACGUUUUCGGUCAAAAAUUCUAUCAAACCUCGUCGGAAUGACCUGAAAUUUUACAUACACGACACAUUCAACACUACGGAGCUACUCCAACUUCUGGAAUUCUAUUCUAACUCUCGGAUCAAAAUCUCACUAUCAAACAAGUGCUCCAAGGGAGCUAACGGAACCAUCGGAAUUCCAUUCUGAGGCCUUCUUCACACUGUUCUGACUACUGUCAAAUUUUCAAAACUUAAGCUCUCAUUUAGGGACUAAGUGUCCCAAAACUCCAAUUAAUUCCUCCCGGCAACUCACAAUAGCCGAAAAAAACACGGGGAGAGCAGUUAAUAGGGGGUCGAGGAGUUAAUUCUUAAGACAACUGGCUGAGUCAUCACAUCCUCCUACACUUAAACAUUUGUUCAUCCUCGAACGAGCAUAGAGAUAUACUUGAAGUAGUGAAAAGAUGAGGGUAACGGCUGCGCAUAUCCUGCUCGGUCUCCCAGGUCGCCUCCUCGACUGGCUGAUCCCGCCACUGAACCUUCACUGACGCAAUGUUCUUUGACCUUAGCUUACUAACCUGUUUGUCCAAUAUUGCCACUUGCUCCUCAACAUAGGAUAGAUCCUUGAACAACUGGACUGAACUGAAAUCCAACACGUGCGACAGAUCAAUGUGGUACAUCUGGACCAUCGAAACAUGAAAUACCGGAUUAACUCCUGCCAAGCUGGGAGGUAAGGCAAGCUCAUAAGCAACCUCCCCAACAUGCCUCAAUAUCUAAAAAGGGCCAAUAAACCUCGGACUCAACUUACCUUUCUUCCCAAAUCUCAAUAACGCCCUUCAUAGGCCAAAGCCGAAGCAGAACCUGCUCUCCAACCAUAUAGGAAACAUCAUAAACCUUUCGGUCAGCAUAACUUUUCUGUCUGGACUAGGCUGUUUGGAUUCUAUCCUGAAUCACAUUAACCUUCUCUAAAGCAUCCUGAACCAAGUCUGUGCCCAAUAAUCUAGCCUCGCCCGGCUCGAACCAACCCACCGAGGAUCUACACCGCCUACCAUAUAAAGCCUCAUACGGUGCCCUCUGAAUGCUGGACUGAUAGUUGGUGUUGUAGGCAAACUUCGCCAAUGGAAAGAACUGAUCCCAAGACCCUCCAAACUCAAUCACACACGUAGAGAGCAUAUCCUCAAGAAUCUGAAUAGUGCGCUCGGACUGUCCGUCUGAGGGUGAAAUGAUGUACUCAACUCCACCCAAGUACCCAACUCAUGCUGAACGGCCCUCCAGAACCGUGAUGUGAAUUGAGUACCUCUAUCUGAAAUGAUGGAAAUUGGAAUACCAUGCAGAAUAACAAUCUCCUAGAUAUAAAUCUCCACUAGAUGCUCCGAAGAAUAGGUAGUACACACAAGAAUGAAGUGCGUAGACUUGGUCAGCUGAUCCACAAUUACCCAAAUAGCAUCAAACUUUCUCAAAGUCCAUGGGAGCCCAACUACAAAGUCCAUGGUGAUCCACUCCCACUUCCACUCUGGAAUCUCUAUCUAUUGAAGCAACCCACCUGGUCUUUGGUGUUCAUACUUCACCUGCUGACAAUCGAGGCGCCGAGCUACAAACCCCACUGUGUCUUUCUUCAUCCGCCUCCACCAAUAGUGCUGCCUCAAAUCCUGGUACAUCUUUGCAGCACCCGGAUGGAUGGAAUACCGCGAACCGUGGGCCUCCUCUAGAAUCAACUCCCUAAGCCCAUCAACAUUGGGUACACAAAUCUGACCCUACAUCCUCAAUACCUCGUCAUCACUAAUAGUCACAUCUCUGGCAUCACCAUGCUGAACCUCGUCCUUGAGGACAAGCAAAUGAGGGUCAUCAUACCGACGCUGCCUGAUACGAUCAAAUAAGGAAGACCGAGAAACCACGCAAGCUAGAACCCGACUGGGCUCCGAAAGAUCCAAUCUCACAAACUAGCUGGCUAAGGCCUGAACGUCCAUCGCCAUAGGCCUCUCCGAUGCUGGUCAGUAAGCCAAACUCCCCAAACUCUCUGCCCGGUGACUUAAAGCAUCGGCCACUACAUUGGCCUUGCCCGGGUAAUACAAAAUAGUGAUAUCAUAGUCCUUCAGCAACUCUAACCACCUUCUCUAGCACAAAUUAAGGUCCUUUUGCUUGAACAAGUGCUGCAAGCUCUGAUGAACAGUAUAAAUCUCACAUGGAACACUGUAAAAUAAUGAUGCCAGAUCUUCAGGGAGUGAACAAUGGCAGCUAACUCGAGGUUGUGGAUAGGAUAAUUUUCUCGUGAACCUUUAACUGUCUAGACGCGUAGGCAAUCACCCUACCGUCCUACAUCAAAACCGCUCCAAGGCCAAUCCUCGAGGCAUCACAAUAGACAGUAUAAGGUCUCGAACCUGUAGGCAAUAUCCAAACUAGGUUGUAGUCAAAGCUGUCUUGAGAUUAUGAAAGCUCGCCUCACACUCUUCCGUCCACUGAAAUGGAGCACCCUUCUGGGUCAGCCUGGUCAUAGUGGCUGCAAUCGAUGAAAUUCCCUCCACAAAACGACAUUAGUAAACUGCCAAGCCAAGAAAAUUGGGGAUCUUUGUAGCUGAUGAUGGUUCGGGCCAACUUUGCACUGCCUCUACUUUCUUCGGAUCCACCUUAAUACCCUCACUCGAUAACACGUGGCCUAAGAAUGCCCUGGAAUCCAACCAAAACUCACAUUUUGAGAACUUAGCAUAUAAUUUCUUCUCUCUCAAAGUCUGAAACACAAUCCUCAGGUGCUGCUCAUGAUCUUCCCGGCUCCGGGAAUACCCCAAAAUAUCAUCAAUAAAGACAAUGAAGAAUGAGUCAAGAUAUAGCCGGAACAUACUGUGCAUCAAAUGCAUAAAGGCUGCUGGGGAAUUGGUAAGCCCAAACGACAUAACAAGGAACUCGUAAUGACCAUACCAGGUCCUAAAAGCUGUUUUCAGGAUAUUUGGCUCCCGACUCUUCAACCGAUGGUACCCUGAACACAAGUCAAUCUUAGAAAACACCCGUUCACCCUAUAGCUGGUCAAACAAAUCAUCAAUAUGAGGAAAAGGAUAACGGUUCUUCACUGUAACUUUGUUCAACUAGCGGUAAUCAAUGCACAUACGCAUAGAACCAUCCUUAUUCUUCACAAACAAGAUAGGAGCACCCCAUGGUGAUACACUGGGCCGAAUGAAACCCUUAUCAAGCAAUUCUUGUAACUGAUCCUUCAACUCCUUUAACUCAUGAGGAGCCAUACGAUAUGGAAGAAUAGAAAUAGGUUGAGUUCCCGGCAAUAGAUCAAUGCCAAAAUCAAUAUCUCUAUCAGGCAGCAUGCCCGAAAGGUCAACUGGAAAGACAUCAGAAAAAUCCCGUACUAUUGGGACUGAAUUAAUGGAAGAGGUAUGAAUAUUGGCAUCUCUUACAUAAGCUAGAUAUGCGUCACACCCCUUCUCAACCAUACGCUGAGCCUUAAGGAAAGAAAUAACUCUACUGGGAGUAUGAUCUAAAGCACCCCUCCACUCAACAUGCGGUACACCUGGCAUAGCCAGCGUCAUGUUUUUGGCGUGACAAUCAAGAAUAGCAUAAUGGGGAGACAACCAGUCCAUGCCCAAGAUAAUAUCUAAAUCUACCAUGCUGAACAAUAAUAAAUCGACUCUGGUCUCAAAAUCACUAAGAGCAACCAAACACGACUGAUAAACGCGGUCCACAACAAGAGAAUCUCCCACAGGAGUAGAAACAUAAACAGGGGAACUCAAAGAAUCUCGAGAUACACCCAAAUGCGGGGCAAAAUAAGAAGACACAUAAGAAUAAGUGGAGCCUGGAUCGAAUAAACCGAUGCAUCUCUGAGACAAAUCAAGAAAAUACCUGUGAUAACAGAAUCGGAGGCAACAACCUUGGUACAGGCAGGAAGGGCAUAGUAUCGGGUCUGGCCUCCUUCUCUAGGGUGACCUCUACCUUCUCGACCUCCACCUCUAGCUAGCUGAGCAGGUGGGGUAGCAACAGGAGCUAUAACUAUAGCCUGAGAACUCUGCGGGGUACACUGUGGCUGAGAAGUCUGUGGAGGUGCACUCUUCCCAAGUCUAAGGCAAUCCCUCACCACAUGGAGUGUGUCACCACACUCAAAAUAAGCUCUAGGAGGAUGUGGCGGCUGUGACUGGCUCAGGCCAGGUCUGCUGGACUAACCUCUGAAAGCACCCUGCAUAGGAGGCGCGCUAGAUACCGGAGGUGCAUAAUAAGGCUCCUAAGGCCUAGGAGGAGCAGGAAUACCACUGGCUACUGGAAAAGCUGAAUGAAUAGGGCGACUCACAUAACCCCUACUAUGACGACCUACAGCUAGGGCACGCGCACCAGAAUAAUGGCCCGACUCUCGAGACUUCAUGGCCUCCCUCUCCUCUCUCUCCCUAACAUGCAUACCCUCAAUCCUCCUAGCAAUGCUCACCACCUGUUGAUAAGAAAUAUCCAUCUCCAACUCAUAAGUCAUGCUAGACCUGAUGCUAGGAAUAAGCCUCUCAAUAAACCAGCAAACCUUCUACGAACAAGAGAACCAAGGCUGGUGCAGGUCUAGCCAAACUAGUGUAAUAGACAGCAUACUCUGAGACAGUCAUAGCACCCUAGCGCAAAUGCUCAAACUUUGUGCACAAUGCGUCCCUAAGNNNNNNNNNNNNNNNNNNNNNNNNNUCAUCUGAUGCUAGACCACUGAAUACAGGAGACUUGUACUUCUUAAACCUCUCAAGCCUCAGCUGCUCAUCCUCGAAAACCACUGCCCUGUCCUCAGGCUGAUCUUGGACUGCAAGCUGUACAAGAAUAAUCUCAAGGCCUUAUUAACAUGCACUUGCUGCUCAAGAGUGCGGGUGGCAAGAGUCUGUAUUCCUCCCCCGGCCUGAGAUGUAGCUGCAGCAAGGGGAAGCAACCUUGCAUGAACCAAAGUGGUGUACAAGCUCAUGAAAUGUACCAAAGUCUCCUGAAGUGCUGGAGUAGUAGUAGCAGUAGGCGUAUCAAGUGCCUGGACUCUGGCUGGAACUACUGGUGGUACCUCGGUAGCAGCUCGCGCAGGUGCUCUGGCUACACCGCGUGCAUGUCCUCGGCCUCUACCCUGGCCCCGGCCUCUGACGGCUGCAGUAGGGGGCGCGGGCGCCUGAUCAUCUCGGGUAGCACAUGUCCUCACCAUCUGUGAGAGAAUAGAAGACAAAAGUUUAGAAUUGUGACAUUAAAUCUUCCACAACAAAAAAUCAAUGAAGUGGAAUUUUCCUAAUAGUUACAUAGCCUCUGCAGAUAAGUACAGACGUCUCCGUACCGAACCGCGAGACUCUAAUACACCGACUUGUGAUUCAUGACUCCUAUGAACCUAAAGCUCUGAUACCAACUUGUCACGACCCCGGUUCGACCUCUGUGAACCAUCAUGAUGGUACCUAGUCUCUACGACUAGGUAAGCCUAACAACACAAAAAAUAAACCAAUUUGCGGAAGAAAUAAUUAAAAACCAAAAUAGUGAAAUAAUCAGUGUUUUAAAGUGUCUCUCGACAUACAUAAUAACAACUCUCGAACUAACAACAUUUCCCAAAACCCAGAAUCUCAUGAUCACAAACCUUUAAAUGUCUACAAGUAUCUAACUCCAGAAUGUCUAAUAAAGAAACGAAAGUCCAGAAGGGCUAAUACAAAAAGGAGAGUAGAAAGGGACUCUUCGGUCUGCGGACGCGGCAGAUAUACCUCGGAGUCUCUACGAACGCCUCAUCUCAAGCAUGAUAAGUCUGAGUGGAGGUACCUGGAUUUGCACAUGAAAAAACAUGAACAGAAAGGGCAUGAGUACACCACAGUACUACUCAAUAAGUGCCAAGCCUAACCUCGGUCGGGUAGUGACGAGGAAGGUUAGGGCCCUAUUGAGAUUAAAUGAAAUAUGAGGUGUGAUAGUGUAAGAUAAAUCAGUACAGUUGAAAGAAAACAAUAAGAAUUAAUACAGGAUAAUAAGGAUAACUACAACUGAAUCAGAGGCAAAAAUAAUCACCGGGAAUGCCACUGUUCACAAAGAUAAUAAUUGGGGAUCUCUCAGUAUCCCGAGGAUCUCUUAGUACCCUCAAUAUAUGCCAGAGAUCUCUUGGUAUCCCGGUGAUCUUUUGGUAUACUCAAUAUAUGCUAGGGAUCUCUUAGUAUCCCGAGGAUCUCUUGGUAUCCUCAAUAUACGUGUUGGGGAUCUCUCGGUAUCCCGCACCUCAGCUCAAAUCAUAAAAUACGUAUAGGGGAUCUCUCGGGAUGUCGUCCCCUAGUCCCAAAGUGAAACAUACAUCAAUAACACAAGAAUACUUAAUUAAACUCAAUUUCGUACCAAAGUAAAACAGGUAAUUCUAACCUAACAUGCUUCAUGUAAUGCAAAUAAGGCAGUUCAAGCAAUAAGGCAAUUAAAUCAAUUAAACAUGCUUCUCUAAGCUAACAGCAGGCUUAAAUUUCAAGUAGAAUAAGCAGGAAAGGAAAACAUAAUUAAAGCUACUUUAGUGAAAAUAGGAUUUUCAACAAUUAUUACAAGUACGCACUCAUCACCUCACGUACAAGGCAUUUCAAUUACCACAAAUACCAAAUCCUAAGGGGAAUGUCCCCCCCACAAGGUUAGGCAAGCCACUUACCUCGAACCAGCUCAAAUCAAUUCGAAACCACGCUCUUGCCACGAGUAUUCGACUACAAAUGGCCUGAAUCUAUUCAAUUUUAUUGCAUAAUGUAAAUAACACUUCAAGUAACUAAUUCUAUAAAUAAAUUCUAAGCUAAUACGUGAACUUAGGUAAAAUGACCAAAAUGCCCUCCGGGCCCACGUCUCAAAAUCGGGUAAAAUCUACAUUUUCAGAAUCCUCAUACUCUCACGAGUUCAUUUAUAUCAAAAUUACCCCAUUCGAACAUCAAAAUCGUGAUCCAAAUUCAAAUGUUAGGUCUAAGAACUUUUCCAACUUUUCUUCAAUUCCACCCCCAAAUUCGAAUUUAAAGGAUGAAUUUAAGCAUAGAUUUAUGGAAAAGAAUCAAAAGUAAGUAAGAAUUUCUUACCCAGAACACCCAGAUGAAAAUCCCUCUCAAAAUCUCGAACCUCGAGCUCCCAAAUCAAUUUCUAACUUUUUGAAACUAAACCCUCGAAACUCGAAUUUUUCUGCCCAGCAAAUCUGCAUCUGCGGUCCACCUUCCGCGUCUGCGGUAUCGCUUCUGCGGUCAAGGGGACCGCUCCUAUGAUUUCCACUUAAAUCCCCUUCGCCACACCUGCGACCCAGAAUACGCAUCUGCGGUCACGCAGGUGCGGUACAUCACCCGCUUAUGCGGUUCCCUGCUUUUCCUCAGUUGGCCUCUUCUGCGGCUUAACUUUCGCAUCUGCAGGAGUCGCAUCUGCGGCCUCUCAACCGCAGAUGCGGUUAUGACAGCAUCCCAAAGAACUUCAGCUGCAAACUCCAAGUUCCAACUUCCCGUGAACCACCCAAAAUCAUCCCGAGGCCCCUGGGACCUCAACCAAAAGCAUGGAAAAGUCAUAUACCACUAUCCAAAGUUGUACAAAUCUCCAAAACACCUCAAACAACAUCGAAUCAACCAAUUAGCAUCGGAUUCAAGCCUAAGAACUUCAAAAACUCUCAAAAUAAGCUUUCGAUCAAAAAGUCUAUCAAACCUCGUCCGAAUGACUUGAAAAUUUGCACACACGUCACAUUCAACACUACGGAGCUACUCCAACUUUCGAAAUUUCAUUCCGACCCUCGAAUCAAAAUCUCACUAUCAAACCGAAAACUUCAAAAAUUCAACUUUUGGCAUUCCAAGCCUAAAUUAGUUACGAACCUCCAAAAUACAAUAUGAACAUGCUCCUAAACCCAAACUCACCCAAUGGAGCUAACAGAACAAUCAGAAUUCCAUUUUGAGGCCGUCUUCACAUGGUUCCGACUACGUUCAAAUUUCCAAAACUUAAGCUCUUAUUUAGGGACUAAGUGUCCCAAAACUCUCCGAAACUCCAAUUAAUUUCUCCCAACAACUCACAAUAGCAAAAAAAACACGGGGAAAUCAAUUAAUAGGGGGUCGUGGCAUUAAUUCUUAAGAAGACCGGCUGGGUCGUCAUAACUUUUUUACUAAUUUGAAUCAGCUUGGAUAAUUUAAUUGGGUUUCUAAAAAGUGCAAUUUUAGUUUGGGUCGGUAAAGUUUCGCGAACUUGGCACCAAGGAAGAGUAACAAAGAGCUGACGGGUUGGAUAUCUUUAAAUAGCAUUUUCAAUCCUUUAAGAAUUGGGUUUGGCCAAAUGCAUGAAGUAAGAAAUUAAGAGAAAUGGAGCAUGAAAUGUGUUUUUAUUUAUUUAUUUAUUUAUUUUAGUUUUGUUUUAAUUUUCUUAUAUACUCGUAGUUUGUUUUAGGCGCGUUUAAUAAAUUAUCGUGGCUAUGGGUACGACUGCCGUGGCAUGGUCACGGUACAUAAAUCUAAAUUCGGGUGUGCAUUUCAUGUGAGCCGAUCAUAACAACUUCAAACAUUAAUAAAAUAAACAUGUCGCGAAUCGUGGGUGCAUUUCAUGUAGCGUGGUUUGUGGCAUGUUCCAAAAUAAAUAAGUAUACGACAAUCGUAACUUGUUCAAGAACUAAUUCCAUAAAUCCUAAAAGCGGUUAAGGUUAAAAAUGCACCGUAGGUAUAAAAUAUAUAAUUAAUCAGAUAAUUAGGCCAAUAUUAGUAGUUGAGCGACCGUUCUAAAAUCAUGGAACCUGGGAAUGCAUAACACCUUCUCCCGGGUUAACAAAAUUCCUUACCCGGAUUUCUGUAUUUCACAGACUGUAAAAUAGAGUCAAACUUCCUCGAUUCGGGAUUUUUAACCGGUGACUUGGGACACCAUAAAUUAGCCCAAGUGACGACUCUAAAUUUAAAUAAAUAAUCCUGUUUCGAUUAUUGUCACUUUAAUUGGAAAAACUCUCAUAUACUCCCUUCCGGGGUAGAAAAAGGAGGUGUGAUAGCUCUGGCGACUCUGCUGGGGAAAAGAACCCAAAACUUCUGGUUCAGGGUUCAGAAUUCGAACUUAGAAUAGCUUUUAUUUGGCUUUUCUUUAUUAUNNNNNNNNNNNNNNNNNNNNNNNNNNNNNNNNNNNNNNNNNNNNAGUAAUAUUGAAAAAUAGGGCUAUUUUUGCAAAGUGGUUUGUUUAAUUGUGUCUGUAGAACUUUCAAUCCAUAAUUAGGUAUUUCUUUACUUUAAAGCCCAUCCUUGUCAAAUUUGCAUCUCUAGCCGGUUUUGGCCACAUAGGCCGUUUUGCAAAAUGGGGUCAUUUUCCAAAAGUGGUUCAGUGACCCAUGUUUUAGAGUUCUAUGUCCACAACAAGAUGUUCUCUCUGUUUAAGGUCUAUUAUGUUGAAUUUGCAUUCUUAGCCAUUUUUGUCCACAUAGACCAUUUCUAUAAAAUGGGUCAUUUUUGCAAAGUAAUUUUUCCAUGUCUUAGAGGUCACUUUUGUCGCGUUUACACUUCUGGCCGCCUUUUGGCCAUAUAAGCCGUUUUACAAAAAUAGCCUCAAUCGUGUCUUGCAUGUGUCCAGUAGGGAGUGUUAUUGUCUCACAUAGUGUUGGUUUCAGUUUUCUCAUACAGGUGUGGAUCUACUUACC